rnacentral:lncRNA from 7 species
UUUGUAGAUACUGCCCCUGCCUGUGCUAGGCUGCUAUGUAUGCAUAGUUCCAUCUUGCGUGCACUACUCUUUUUUCCAUGAUUCCACUCGUCCCUCGAUCCCGUGACAGCACACAUCGGUCAUGUUCAUGUCAUUCCCCUUCCAUACAUAUAUUUACAUACUCCACAGUUCCAACACAAUAAUCAUCUCUCUCUCUAUAUAGAUAGACUAGCAUGCUGCAAAGUUCAUGAAAACUGCUCACAAUUAAGAUUGUUAUUGUGCAUGCAUGCAUGCAUGCAUGCAUGCAUGCAUGUUGUUGUCCUUUUUUAUAUAUAUAUAUGGCAGGUUCAUAUAAUAAUUAUAUUGUCUAAGACAAAAGAAAAAAUGAAUAGGAUCAAAUCAAUUGGGACCAUUUGGCCUGCGACGGAGCCAGCGCGACGGCGAGGGUAAUUAGCAGUUUCUGGAAAAAAAAGGGGAAAUAUAAGCACUCGUGGGGCCUGGCC